rnacentral:tRNA from 1 species
AAGGGAUGUAGCGCAGCUUGGUAGCGCGUUUG